GGAUGAUGAUUGGCUGAUUCAAAAUCUGAAGGAACCAAUGAGUUGUAUGAUUGAAAGGCGCAGCUGGGAAGCAAUUAGCUGAUGGCACCUGAAGAGAAAACACAGGAGUGUAUGCUUCCUCCCGUCCUCACCCCCUCUGUCCUCUGGCUGUGACCCAGAAAUUGUUUUCCCUCCACCAUCAUUGAGGAUGUUCCAAUCCCUUAAAUGCACCUCAGAGGAGAGACAAGAGAGGAGCGAGGAGGCUCAUCGGGGAGAACCGCUGGAUGUCUGCUGAGAGGCAGCUGGCCAAUCAGAACAGCCUGUUUCAGAGGCUGAACCGAGGGGCUGGAUAAAGGACCAGUUUAUGAUAAAUUUUUCUUUUAAAACUGUAAAUCAUGCAGAUAUUCCAGUAGACCUCCAGAAUAUAAAUAAAGACCUGUAAAUGUACAUGACGUGUCCUGUUUAAAUUCCAUUUUUAAUGGCGGUGUUAAUCUCUUGCCUAUAGCAAGAAUCAGAGCAAAGACUUAGACGAGUUAUGUAGUGCAGUUAUGUUCUUACUCUUCUCCUGUUUUCUGUGGCAAUUUUAAUGAAACAUACAUGUUCUUUCUCGUCUGUUUGGUGCCUCUUCCUAUGUACCGUAUUACAAGAGUAAAUGUCAACAUAUUUCCUUGUAAAGAAUAAAGCUAAAUAGAUCA